rnacentral:rRNA from 1 species
AAUGAACGCUGGCGGUAUGCUUAACACAUGCAAGUCGAACGGACUCUUCGGAGUUAGUGGCGGACGGGUGAGUAACGCGUGAGAAUCUGGCUUUGGGUUCGGGACAACCACUGGAAACGGUGGCUAAUACCGGAUGUGCCGAGAGGUAAAAGAGAAAUUGCCUGAAGAUGAGCCCGCGUCUGAUUAGCUAGUUGGUGAGGUAAAGGCUCACCAAGGCAGCGAUCAGUAGCUGGUCUGAGAGGAUGACCAGCCACACUGGGACUGAGACACGGCCCAGACUCCUACGGGAGGCAGCAGUGGGGAAUUUUCCGCAAUGGGCGAAAGCCUGACGGAGCAAUACCGCGGGAGGGAAGAAGGCUCUUGGGUUGUAAACCUCUUUUCUUAGGGAAGAACAAAAUGACGGUACCUAAGGAAUCAGCAUCGGCUAACUCCGU